rnacentral:rRNA from 1 species
AUACGGAGGGUGCAAGCGUUAUCCGGAAUCAUUGGGUUUAAAGGGUCCGUAGGCGGGCUAAUAAGUCAGGGGUGAAAUCCCACAGCUUAACUGUGGAACUGCCCUUGAUACUGUUGGUCUUGAGUUACAGUGAAGUGGAUAGAAUGUGUAGUGUAGCGGUGAAAUGCAUAGAGAUUACACAGAAUACCGAUUGCGAAGGCAGAUCACUAACUGUAUACUGACGCUAAUGGACGAAAGCGUGGGGAGCGAACAGGAUUAGAAACCCGUGUAGUCC